GGUCUCGUAGUGUAGCGGUUAACACGCCUGCCUGUCACGCAGGAGAUCGCGGGGUUCGAUUCCCGUCGAGACCGCCA
rnacentral:tRNA from 1 species